rnacentral:tRNA from 1 species
UCCCAUUAGGUCCAGUGGCUAAGACUCUGCACUCCCAAUGCAGGGGGCCCAGGUUCAAUCCCUGGUCAGGGAA